UUAAGCGACUAAGCGUACACGGUGGAUGCCCUGGCAGUCAGAGGCGAUGAAGGACGUGCUAAUCUGCGAUAAGCGUCGGUAAGGUGAUAUGAACCGUUAUAACCGGCGAUUUCCGAAUGGGGAAACCCAGUGUGUUUCGACACACUAUCAUUAACUGAAUCCAUAGGUUAAUGAGGCGAACCGGGGGAACUGAAACAUCUAAGUACCCCGAGGAAAAGAAAUCAACCGAGAUUCCCCCAGUAGCGGCGAGCGAACGGGGAGCAGCCCAGAGCCUGAAUCAGUGUGUGUGUUAGUGGAAGCGUCUGGAAAGGCGCGCGAUACAGGGUGACAGCCCCGUACACAAAAAUGCACAUACUGUGAGCUCGAUGAGUAGGGCGGGACACGUGGUAUCCUGUCUGAAUAUGGGGGGACCAUCCUCCAAGGCUAAAUACUCCUGACUGACCGAUAGUGAACCAGUACCGUGAGGGAAAGGCGAAAAGAACCCCGGCGAGGGGAGUGAAAAAGAACCUGAAACCGUGUACGUACAAGCAGUGGGAGCACGCUUAGGCGUGUGACUGCGUACCUUUUGUAUAAUGGGUCAGCGACUUAUAUUCUGUAGCAAGGUUAACCGAAUAGGGGAGCCGAAGGGAAACCGAGUCUUAACUGGGCGUUAAGUUGCAGGGUAUAGACCCGAAACCCGGUGAUCUAGCCAUGGGCAGGUUGAAGGUUGGGUAACACUAACUGGAGGACCGAACCGACUAAUGUUGAAAAAUUAGCGGAUGACUUGUGGCUGGGGGUGAAAGGCCAAUCAAACCGGGAGAUAGCUGGUUCUCCCCGAAAGCUAUUUAGGUAGCGCCUCGUGAAUUCAUCUCCGGGGGUAGAGCACUGUUUCGGCAAGGGGGUCAUCCCGACUUACCAACCCGAUGCAAACUGCGAAUACCGGAGAAUGUUAUCACGGGAGACACACGGCGGGUGCUAACGUCCGUCGUGAAGAGGGAAACAACCCAGACCGCCAGCUAAGGUCCCAAAGUCAUGGUUAAGUGGGAAACGAUGUGGGAAGGCCCAGACAGCCAGGAUGUUGGCUUAGAAGCAGCCAUCAUUUAAAGAAAGCGUAAUAGCUCACUGGUCGAGUCGGCCUGCGCGGAAGAUGUAACGGGGCUAAACCAUGCACCGAAGCUGCGGCAGCGACGCUUAUGCGUUGUUGGGUAGGGGAGCGUUCUGUAAGCCUGCGAAGGUGUGCUGUGAGGCAUGCUGGAGGUAUCAGAAGUGCGAAUGCUGACAUAAGUAACGAUAAAGCGGGUGAAAAGCCCGCUCGCCGGAAGACCAAGGGUUCCUGUCCAACGUUAAUCGGGGCAGGGUGAGUCGACCCCUAAGGCGAGGCCGAAAGGCGUAGUCGAUGGGAAACAGGUUAAUAUUCCUGUACUUGGUGUUACUGCGAAGGGGGGACGGAGAAGGCUAUGUUGGCCGGGCGACGGUUGUCCCGGUUUAAGCGUGUAGGCUGGUUUUCCAGGCAAAUCCGGAAAAUCAAGGCUGAGGCGUGAUGACGAGGCACUACGGUGCUGAAGCAACAAAUGCCCUGCUUCCAGGAAAAGCCUCUAAGCAUCAGGUAACAUCAAAUCGUACCCCAAACCGACACAGGUGGUCAGGUAGAGAAUACCAAGGCGCUUGAGAGAACUCGGGUGAAGGAACUAGGCAAAAUGGUGCCGUAACUUCGGGAGAAGGCACGCUGAUAUGUAGGUGAAGUCCCUCGCGGAUGGAGCUGAAAUCAGUCGAAGAUACCAGCUGGCUGCAACUGUUUAUUAAAAACACAGCACUGUGCAAACACGAAAGUGGACGUAUACGGUGUGACGCCUGCCCGGUGCCGGAAGGUUAAUUGAUGGGGUCAGCGCAAGCGAAGCUCUUGAUCGAAGCCCCGGUAAACGGCGGCCGUAACUAUAACGGUCCUAAGGUAGCGAAAUUCCUUGUCGGGUAAGUUCCGACCUGCACGAAUGGCGUAAUGAUGGCCAGGCUGUCUCCACCCGAGACUCAGUGAAAUUGAACUCGCUGUGAAGAUGCAGUGUACCCGCGGCAAGACGGAAAGACCCCGUGAACCUUUACUAUAGCUUGACACUGAACAUUGAGCCUUGAUGUGUAGGAUAGGUGGGAGGCUUUGAAGUGUGGACGCCAGUCUGCAUGGAGCCGACCUUGAAAUACCACCCUUUAAUGUUUGAUGUUCUAAC
rnacentral:rRNA from 1 species